rnacentral:misc_RNA from 1 species
UUGACUUAUUGUAUAAGUUACUCAGAGAGGCCUGUAAUGACGAAGAGUUUCGGGCUUCUGACGGGCUGCCGGCCCUGGAGGGGAGCCGGCGCGGCCUGGGUUACAGGCUACCCGCCGAAGCAACGGUGAGGUAGGUACACAAUGGUUGGGAGUUUUGCAACUCUGUAAUGAUCCCUCCGCUGGUUCACCAACGGAGA